rnacentral:lncRNA from 1 species
GUGGAAUAGAACCGUCCCUCACAGCCCCAAGAACCCAAGCUCUGGCCUCCAGAACUCUCAAGGCAGCUGCACCCUGACAUUGAGUCCAGAUCUGGCCAGUGAUAUACAAGGAGUGGUCUGCAUCAUUUUUGAAAAGCAGACAUGACCCUGAAAAGCAGUUGAGACACUGAAAAACAGACAUGACCCUCCAGUCUCUCUCUUUCCUGGGCUGGAUGAUUGAGAAGGUCUCCACCAGCCUGGAUCCCUGAGUGACUGCAUGGAGAAAAUAUGUGUGGUCCCUCCCUUGGCCCUGCCCCGAUCAAGCUCGACACCGGUGCACGUGCACGUGCGUUUAUGUCAAGCGCGUCCAAACCCGCAAGACGGAGUGGCGCCGGGGAUUUUCAAAGCCAAAGGAGACAGCGCUCUAAGUAUGUUGUUACCUUCCCCUGCCUCACGGAAUGAAAGCAGCAGGCUGGAGCUUCUGUGCAGCUUCCACCAAGGGCUAAUUUAGUUGUGAUUUGUGGCAAACAUUUAUGGUUUAAUAAAGUGACUUUCCGGUUGUCUGUGUUUAUCACAGCUCAAGUGAGGAGGUUCACCAGGGAAGCAUCUGGG